GACGGAGGAUGCAAGUGUUACCCGGAAUCACUGGGCGUAAAGCGUCUGUAGGUGGUUUAAUAAGUCAACUGUUAAAUCUUGAGGCUCAACCUCAAAAUCGCAGUCGAAACUAUUAGGCUAGAGUAUAGUAGGGGUAAAGGGAAUUUCCAGUGGAGCGGUGAAAUGCGUAGAGAUUGGAAAGAACACCGAUGGCGAAGGCAGCUUACUAUGGUUUUAUUGACACUGAGGCACGAAAGCGUGGGGAUCAAACAGG
rnacentral:rRNA from 1 species